rnacentral:tRNA from 1 species
GGCCUGGUAGCUCAGUCGGUAGAGCAGAGGACUGAAAAUCCUUGUGUCACUGGUUCGAUUCCGGUCCGGGCCA